rnacentral:rRNA from 1 species
GAUGAACGCUAGCGGGAGGCUUAACACAUGCAAGUCGAGGGGCAGCAUAGGGUAGCAAUACUCUGAUGGCGACCGGCAAACGGGUGAGUAACGCGUAUGCAACCUACCCUGUACAGGGGGAUAACCCGGAGAAAUUCGGACUAAUAUCCCGUAAUAAUAUCCGGAGGCAUCUUUGGAUAUUUAAAGUUCCGACGGUACGGGAUGGGCAUGCGUAACAUUAGCUGGUUGGUAAGGUAACGGCUUACCAAGGCUAUGAUGUUUAGGGGUCCUGAGAGGGUGGUCCCCCACACUGGUACUGAGACACGGACCAGACUCCUACGGGAGGCAGCAGUGAGGAAUAUUGGUCAAUGGGCGCAAGCCUGAACCAGCCAUCCCGCGUGCAGGAAGACGGCCCUAUGGGUUGUAAACUGCUUUUCCAGGGAGAGAAACUUACGCACGUGUUGCGUGACUGACGGUACCCUGGGAAUAAGCAUCGGCUAACUCCGUGCCAGCAGCCGCGGUAAUCACGAGAGU